rnacentral:rRNA from 1 species
CCUACGGGAGGCAGCAGUGGGGAAUAUUGCACAAUGGGGGAAACCCUGAUGCAGCGACGCCGCGUGAGCGAUGAAGUAUUUCGGUAUGUAAAGCUCUAUUAGCAGGGAAGAAAAUGACGGUCCCUGACUAAGAAGCCCCGGCAAACUACGUGCCAGCAGCCGCGGUAAUACGUAGGGGGCAAGCGUUAUCCGGAUUUACUGGGUGUAAGGGGAGCGUAGACGGUUGUGCAGGCCAGAUGUGAAAGCCCGGGGCUCAACACCGGGACUGCAGUUGGAACUGUGUGGCUGGAGUGUCGGAGAGGCAGGCGGAAUGCGUAGUGUAGCGGUGAAAUGCGUAGAUAUUAGGAGGAACACCAGUGGCGAAGGCGGCCUGCUGGACGAUGACUGACGUUGAGGCUCGAAAGCGUGGGGAGCAAACAGGAUUAGAUACCCCAGUAGUC